UCCCCAAAAACUGAAACCAAAAAACAGAACCCUCCCUACUUCUGACUCCGUUCUUCAGCCUUCCUCGUCCUUCUUCCUCCAAAAUAGCAAACCACCAACAAGCUCCGGUCCGACGCAAUCAAGCCUCCAGCUCCAUCUUCGGCCACCCAAAAUCUCCGGCCCCUAAUUCCGUCUGAUACGCCGCGACUCCACCCGCAGUUCUAAUUGGAGUUGCGCCGCCACCUCCGACUUAGACGAUGAGGUUGAACUUAAUAUGGCGCGAAAGCGGACCACACCGGCCUCCUCUCCCCAUCCAACCCAACGUUGUCGAAAUGUGGAGCCGUUAGACUCAGAGUCAGAAAAUAACUCCGAAGGAAUAAGUGCGACUCCACCCCAGCCGGCUUAUGAGAACAACCAGCCACUCUUAACACUAUCACCAUCAAUGCUAACCACUCCAAGCACGGUAGAGACACCACAAUCACGGACCUUGGAAUCAUCAAUAAGUUUUUGGCUUUUUAGUAUGUUGCCUCCAUUGUUAAUCAAGUCAAUAUCGCAUUUUAUCAUUCAAAAUAGGCCGCGGAAACAUGAUGGUUGUUCAUUUUUAAGCCAUAUGUGUAGUGCUUAAGAUUUUGACGAAUUGGUACAUAUAACACGAGUAUUGUAGGCUUGCGAUGCCCUGCUACCUAAAUUCAAAUUAUCUUGGUAGCGCAUGAAUUUUAAAUGUAAAAUAUGAUGGCGUUGACGCUUGUGAAGCCAAUGAAAGAAAUGAUGAUAUUGGAAUUGAUGACAAUGGACUUAGUUGUGGUGUUAAUUGUAGAUCUGAUGAUGUUGGCGUUUGUGAAGAUGGUGCAAGAAAAGGUGAGGCAGGAAAUGAGCAGAGCAUAGUCGGUGAUGGUGAUACGUUUUAUGAUUCCCCGACUUCAUCGAGGGAUGAUGACUACGAUGAUAACCUUGUGGACCAAAAUUUCGAGACCGAGCAACCUAUUAAACGACCGAAAAGAUAAUUGAAAAGGUCAAAGUACAAGAGAAUUCCGUUCACAGAUCCUUAAGGAUGACUUUUACUACUUUUAUGGAUCCUUAAGUGUUCUUUUUUAUUUUGUUUUUUUUUUCUUGGCUCAAGGAUUAUGUUUAAAACUUAUUUUGGAUGUUAAACUAAGUUACAGUCU